AGGUUUACUAUUCCGAGAUCUACAGGAAGAAUCUGCACCUGGCAGGUCUCAAACAAGCAUCCCUGACGAACUUUUGCUUCCACAUUUUAAAAAUGAAACUUUCAAAUCAGAUUUGCCAACAAAAAAGAAAACUAAAAGUCAUUCUUCACAAGUUGCAACUUCAUUAUCAAAGCUUGUUAAUAAUUUCCACUUUGCAAAAUAUCUUGAAGCCAAAGAAAAGAAUAGAAAGGCAGCUUUGACCUCAAAGAAUCGCAUACAACUCACUGAUGACAUCUUGUGGUAUAAAGACAAUGUGGUUCAUAAAGGAGUGGAUUUCACAGUUUACGAAGGUCAACGGAAACUUCCAAAUUCAGUUACAGAACCUUCAGCAAUAUGGGUGUAUUCUUCGCGGAAUAAAGGCUUUUUCCACAAACUAAAAGCUCUUCAGCAACUUCCACCUCAUUCAAACGUAAUCUCUGUUAUUGCUAGUGGUCGUUUGAUUGAAACAGGUCAAAUUUUUGUUGCUACUGAA